UCUCCGUAGGUGAACCUGCGGAAGGAUCAUUAUUGAAUAACCGAACUGCGAGGGCCCUCCCUGACCCGACUGGUCGUGCACGCCUGAGUGCCUCUACACCCAACCAUCUCAAACCUACGUGCUCCACCGCGAGGGUCCAAAUCUGGCGUGUUCGGAGGGCGGCUUUCGUUUUUACACAAACUACGUAUGAAGUGUAGAAAGCAUUUUUCGUUUUUCCGAUCACGCAAUCAAAACAAUUUUAACGAACGGAUCUCUUGGUUACCGCAUCGACGAAGAAAG
rnacentral:misc_RNA from 1 species